CUGCCCAGCAGCCUCCUGGACCAAGGAGGGCUUCGUCUCCAGUGGCUGCUGGUGAGACAGAUGGAGGGUCCACUCCCAGGACCCGUCACUCUGUCAUUCCUGACUCCCUGGAUUAAACUUGGUGAUCUCAUGCUACCAACCAACUGACAAUGGGACAGACAACCACUCGCACCAUCCCCACGACCAAUUUUGCUGCUCACGUGCUGAUUGGCUCUUCCCAUUUUGUCUCUUGUUAUUUGAAAUCAAUGACUCAGUGCACUAGGUCAAGACUGAAGAAGUUCCCCUCGGAGGAACUACAACCACUUAUUCUUCAGCUUCAUAUUAUGAAGGCUGAGACUGAACCCUUGGUAUGGCUAGUUUUCCUACCUUAAUUCUCAUUUGUAGUUUCCCAGGCAGAGGCGAAUGAGGACAAAUCACGAUCUCAGCAUCAAAAUCCCCAUGCCUCUUGCUUUAAUUUCCAAGUCACAAAAAUCCAGGCACUUCUGGCUCCUCCCAGAAGGGCAGAGGAGGCGGGAGACCCACCUCCUCCUGGCAGCCCAGCCCGAGUGCACACUCCCCAGCACUUCACACCACUUAAAAGACUCUGCCCAAACUGCCAACAACGUGUUACAAACAGAGCGCUCCCCGAAAAUGGAUCAGAAACACUUUGUAAUGAGUGUAGGCGCUGCUUUCAAAAAGGCCAACAUCUAACAAAAUUCCUGGUCCUGAGUGAUCCACCCUCAAAUAGCCCAGCGCAGGCUGAGAAAACUUCCCCCAAAGCCUUCACAUUUGCAGAAGCAGCUCUCUAAGGCAAUCUACCCAAUGACAUAGAUGUCGGAAGAGCUGAACUGUAUUAACUGUUUACAUAUAUUACAUCCCUUCCCUGGAUACUCAGUUAUCUAAGGUCGCCAUAUUUUGGAAAGAAGCGCUAUCUAAGAUUUGGGAUGAUCUUCGGCCAACGAUUACUGGACAACUGGAUCCAAAUUCCACAAAUAACAGUGUUCCUUUACCUGUGUGGGUGUUGUCCCUAAUAGAACGCAGGUGCCAUGCAUUUUCUCUUUCAGGCCUUCCUUUCCACUAUUCCUUCAACUCCAGCAGAUGCCCUGGCUGCUCUACAUGCCCCCUCCAUUUGGGGCCACAGGCAGCACGGGGCCAGGCACAUAGGGACUCUUGGAAAGGGCUUGUGGAAGGGGUCCUCACUGCACGGAGAGGCUCUGUUUUGCACCCCCACUACCCCCAGGACAUAUCCUGGGUAGAUGCUCACUGUCCCAGACUGCAAACCCCAUUUCUUUAUCUGUCGAAACCAUUCAACUGGGAGUGCUGUGAGAGCUGUAACAAGUCCCAUUAAGCACAGCAUCUUCAAGCCCUGCACCAACCAGGCCAGCAAAAGCAGGUCUCAGUGAGAGUCUUCGGAAUGGGAAUCCUUGUGCUACCUCUGGCAGAGCCCCAGCCCAAGGAACAUAGGGGGCUGAGAAAAUCGAUGGUGCUAAUCGCGAGCUCUCCACUGGGGAUGCCAUCCUAAAGGAAAACUGUGUGUGAAAUACUCAG
rnacentral:lncRNA from 1 species